rnacentral:rRNA from 1 species
AGCGAACGCUGGCGGCAGGCCUAACACAUGCAAGUCGAACGAACCUUUCGGGGUUAGUGGCGGACGUGUGAGUAACACGUGGGAACGUGCCUUUAGGUUCGGAAUAACUCAGGGAAACUUGUGCUAAUACCGAAUGUGCCCUUCGGGGGAAAGAUUUAUCGCCUUUAGAGCGGCCCGCGUCUGAUUAGCUAGUUGGUUGAGGUAAUGGCUCACCAAGGCGACGAUCAGUAGCUGGUCUGAGAGGAUGAUCAGCCACAUUGGGACUGAGACACGACCCAAACUCCUACGGGAGGCAGCAGUGGGGAAUCUUGCGCAAUGGGCGAAAGCCUGACGCAGCCAUGCCGCGUGAAUGAUGAAGGUCUUAGGAUUGUAAAAUUCUUUCACCGGGGACGAUAAUGACGGUACCCGGAGAAGAAGCCCCGGCUAACUUCGUG